GGACUACUGGGGUAUCUAAUCCCGUUCGCUCCCCUGGCUUUCGCGUCUCAGCGUCAGCAGGAGUCCAGGGCCUCGCUUUCGCCACGGGCGUUCCUUCCGAUCUCAACGCAUUUCACCGCUCCACCGGAAGUUCCAGGCCCCCCUACUCCCCUCCAGGCCGGUCGUAUCGGCGCCGCUUCCCCGGUUGAGCCGGGGGAUUUCAGCGGCCGACGUGCCGGCCCGCCUACACGCGCUUUAAGCCCAGUGAUUCCGAAUAACGUUCGCACGGUUCGUCUUACCGCGGCUGCUGGCAC
rnacentral:rRNA from 1 species